AGACUGGGAUAACUUGGGAAACCGGAGCUAAUACCGGAUAACACCGAGGACUUCAUGGUCCUUGCUGAAAGAUGGCUUCGGCUAUCACUUACAGAUGGGCCCGCGGCGCAUUAGCUAGUUGGUGAGGUAACGGCUCACCAAGGCGACGAUGCGUAGCCGACCUGAGAGGGUGAUCGGCCACACUGGGACUGAGACACGGCCCAGACUCCUACGGGAGGCAGCAGUAGGGAAUCUUCCGCAAUGGACGAAAGUCUGACGGAGCAACGCCGCGUGAGCGAUGAAGGCCUUCGGGUCGUAAAGCUCUGUUGUUAGGGAAGAACAAGUACCGUUCGAAUAGGGCGGUACCUAGACGGUACCUAACCAGAAAGCCACGGCUAACUACGUGCCAGCAGCC
rnacentral:rRNA from 2 species